GCGUGAAAUGAGUUUAAUAUAUGAAAUAUGCUAAGAAUUAUAUAAAAUGCGAUUAAUUUUUUGAACAGUUUAAUGUAUUCUUUAAGUAGAUCCUUGAGAAUUGUAGUCUAUGUUCUGUAUGCAAUAUAGAUUAUCCAGCUUUUUUUAUAAUUUGCACUAUGUAAUUGUAGUAUUAUGUGAAAUUUGCUGAGCUUCGAAUAUGGAACUUAAAAUAGUUUUGUGCAGUAAAAAAUGGGGAAUUUUGCUUGGACAACAUUGAGGAAUUAAACAUUAAUGGCAUUUACAGAUUUAGUUGCCCCUGUGCAGCAGGUCUGAAUUGCAUGUCGGAGAGGAAAAGGAACGAAACCCAUGAGGUGAUUGUUCUUGACACAUGCGCAGAAGAAUAGAAUGCUUUUGCUCUUCUUUAAGUAUUUAUUAUAUGAUACUAUUAUCUAGGCUCACAUAAAAUUUGUACAAAAAUAAAAUCAAUGAAAUAAAUAUUUUUCUCAUUCCUUUUAAAGUAUAUAAAUAUACCUAACGCUAUCAUGCUAUCAUAAAGUUUAACUUUUUAUUACAUGUUGCUCUUAGAUAACUGAAAAUAUUACCGCAUUUGUGAUUAGGAACCUUCAGAAUGAAAACCUAAAAACUACCACUGGUUUAAAAACAAACAGUAAUUUCAGAAAACUGUUUUUUUCCUUAAGAAAUCAUUGAAAAUCAUAGAUGAUGUUAAGCAUCAAAAUUGAAUACUCCUGUCUUCAAAAUGUUCGUGAAAAAAAAAACCCACCACUGGUUUAAAAACAAACAGUAAUUUCAGAAAACAGUUUUUUUCCUUAAGAAAUCAUUGAAAAUCAUAGAUGAUGUUAAGCAUCAAAACUGAAUACUCCUGUCUUCAAAAUGUUCGUGGAAAAGCUUUGUAUGUUUAAAAUGUAAAACAUUAUAAUCUACUGAACUUUUAUAC